GCGUUGUUCGGAUUUACUGGGCGUAAAGGGUGCGUAGGCGGAUUUUUAAGUCAGGGGUGAAAUCCCAAGGCUCAACCUUGGAACUGCCUUUGAUACUGGGGAUCUUGAGUCCGGGAGAGGUGAGUGGAACUGCGAGUGUAGAGGUGAAAUUCGUAGAUAUUCGCAAGAACACCAGUGGCGAAGGCGGCUCACUGGCCCGGAACUGACGCUGAGGCACGAAAGCGUG
rnacentral:rRNA from 1 species